rnacentral:rRNA from 1 species
UGGGGAAUCUUGCGCAAUGGGCGAAAGCCUGACGCAGCGACGCCGCGUGAAGGAUGAAGUAUUUCGGUAUGUAAACUUCGAAAGAAUAGGAAGAAUAAAUGACGGUACUAUUUAUAAGGUCCGGCUAACUACGUGCCAGCAGCCGCGGUAAUACGUAGGGACCAAGCGUUGUUCGGAUUUACUGGGCGUAAAGGGCGCGUAGGCGGCAAUUCAAGUCAUCUGUGAAAUCUCCGGGCUUAACUCGGAACGGUCAGAUGAUACUGCUUUGCUAGAGUGCAGAAGGGGCAAUCGGAAUUCUUGGUGUAGCGGUGAAAUGCGUAGAUAUCAAGAGGAACACCUGAGGUGAAGACGGGUUGCUGGGCUGACACUGACGCUGAGGCGCGAAAGCCAGGGGAGCAAACGGGAUUAGAUACCCAUGUAGUCCCUGAGCGGGCUGGCAAGGCGCAU